UUUGGCUUCCGAGCUUCAACCACCACCAAAUAUCAUCCAUCCGAAUCCAUGUCAGUCGGGUCGUCGUAGGUUCUAGAGUACGACGUCGUAUAGCAGCUUACAGUAUCUUAUCUUCCAAGGCUGCCGUUAACCUCCCCGCCAUCCUCACUGUCCAGUAAAGCUUCGUAGUGAUGGCUGGAACCGUUCAGCAAUACUAUGUCGUUUGAACUGCGGAUAAGCUUCACAGGGAAUCAAAAGGCCUCCAAUUUCUUCAGAAAUCGUUUCUGAAUCAGGAAGAAAGAAUGAGACGGUUGGAGUGCAGAGUGAAAGUUUACUUUGAUGCUACUAGGUUGGAUCACCAGGAAGCAAAUCAUUGAAUACACACGGAAAAUUAAAAGAGUUUUAGUAUUUGGAUUCGUAAUUGAUGAAUAGUUUGAAAUGGAGAACUUGGUUGAUUGAGACAGAGAGAAUCCGACAGCUCCAAACUCUGAUCUGCUGAUCUCGAAAUGGAGAAGUUACUUCUCGGUUCACUUUCACAACGUAAACCAGCUCCUUAGUUCAAUUCUUAAAUAUGAGGUUUUUCAAGUACCACUUUUCUGUAAUGAAACAUUUGAGCAGUACUCUCCAGGAUAUGCAAUUAAUUAGGUCAAUUUUUGUUUAAUUGGGAUUCUUAGUUUCAUACUAGGGAUUUUAAGUUGACUGGAUUCCGUAUUUUCGAAACUCAAGGUAAAAAUUGUUACAUAGUUUCAAAUACAUAGGAUUAAUUUCAUAACUUUAUGGGUUGCUUUGUUAUUGUUUUUUGUUGCAUAUUUAAUCCCUUGAACUUGAAUUGGAUUGCUCUUUGGUCAAAUGCUUAUUAAUAUUAAGUCUUUGUUCCGCAUGUGGACCGUCAUAGAAGAGUUCCUACCGUCAAAUUAUAACUAAGAUUGCGACAUCUGCUGCUCCACCAUCAUUUCUAAAAAAUAAGGACCUGGUGUGCCAACAGUCUUCAACUGCGUAAGUCAUUUUAUUAACUUUUUGUAAAUCCUUUUAUUGUUCUGAUCUUUAGCAAGAGGAUCCUUAAACAAAUCCAACUAUUUUAACAAAUCCAACUAUCAUUUGUUCACAUUAACUUCUAUUUUUCCAAUUUCUAACAAAUAAAUGAAAACACCUACAUAUCAGGAGAAAGGAGGAACAAAGUGAAGAAACAAACCCAUUAGAUUAAAGAAGUUCAACACUACUCAUUGUUUCUUAUUCUAGAUAGGGUUGUAAAUAGAUUUAUAUAAGCACUAUGGCUUAUCAUUUAUAUUUAAAACUUUCUACAUGUUUUAUACAGUUUCAAAACCUGCAGCACCGCACGGACGCUUUUGCUAUUAUUCAUACUAUUUUUUAUAAAUUUUUAGUUCAC